GAACCGACUAAAGAAACAUAAACAUAAAUGAGGAUUUUCUUAGAAUCAGACUGUUAAAACAAUUCAUUCACUCAUUUGGGCAGCCAAUAUUGAUUGAGCAAUGGCUAUGUGCUAGGCUCUGUCCUACAAAGUAGGCUUGCAGAAAUGAACAAGGCAUGGGAUUGUCUUCAUGACUUUGAGCAAUGAAGUGCAAAAGAAAUAGAUUAAUAGAUGACUGUACAAAGUGGUAGGAAGGUGAAGGACAGGUUCUGUGGUAUAAAUGACAGGAGUCUUGGUCUUGGGAUUUAAGGAGUGAAUUCUUCAGGGAGUGAUGCUUGAGACCUGGAGGAUGAGUAGGUAUGAAACUGGCAGAGGUAAAGUGUGUGUGUGUGCAUGCAUGCACAUGUAUGUUAGGGGAUAGGUCUGAGCAUUCCAGGCAGAGGGAGCAGCAUGGACACAGGUCCUGAGGUAGUAAGGAAUUUGGUGCACUCCAGUAAUUUAAAGAAGGUCAGAAUGAUUGAGCUAAGAGAAGAAAGGGAGACAGUCUUUGAAAGAGAGGCAGAAGUUAAACCCUGCCAUGUCAUCUCCCACCUGUCUCCACCCCAAACCUCCCUUCUUGGCAUCUGUGGAGUGGGUCUCCAUCCUCCCACUGCCAGCACAACUCCCUACCUCCGUGGUCACCAUAUCCUCAGGCAAAUGUUGGCUUUGUGACUUUGAAUCUGUCUCCCUGGCCAGACUAGGACCAAGCUCUGCUGUGUGAACUUGGCCAGGCUACUUCACCUGUCAGAGCUUUAAUUAUGACUUUUCCAUAAUGAAUGUUUUAGAAAACUGACUUUCUACAUGGGUUGUGAAAAUAAAACAAAAUUGCAGAUAUGUAAUCACAGUGUGCAGUAUACAGUAGACACUCACUACUUAUUAUGGCAUGAAUUCAUGAACAAGGUCAACAUUGUUGUUAUCCCAAUUUAAAGACAAGAAAACUGAGAGUGAAGAGACCUGUCCAAGGUGUCCUGGCCCUAGACUUGACCCAGUGCCACCUGAAGGCUGGAGUGCAGUGGCAUGAUCUUGGCUCAUUACAACCUCCACCUCCCUGGUUCAAGCAAUUCCCCUGCCUCAGCCUCCCGAGUAGCUGGGAUUACAGGUGCGCACCACCACACCUGGCUAUUUUUUUUUUUUUUUUUGUAUUUUUAUUAGAGACGGGGUUUCACUACGUUGGCCAGACUGGUCUCGAACUCCUGACGUCAGGCAAUCCGCCAGCCUUGGCCUCCCAAAAUGCUGGGAUUACAGGUGUGAGCCACUGCACCCGGCCACACAUAGCUAAUUCUGUAGAAAAAAAUGAGGGUUUGAGCUUCUGUAUAUUUGUAAAUUCUAUACAUUCUUCAGUUGCAAACCUUCUCUCUCUGUUUAUGCAUGCAUACAAGUGUCCUUUCCUGAUUCACCUAACAGAGCAAACUUUACUCCUCACUUCUCUUCCUAACAAGGUUCUGGUUUCUUCUCCCUGGAGAUUUUCAAACUGCCUGUGAGAUUACAUCCAUAAACACUUCACCUUACAAAAGAAAAUAGCAACAAGUCUUCUUCUUCUGAGCACUUGCUCCCUGAAUAACUUUGCAAGCAGUUUUUCACAGAGUAAAAGGGCCCCAAAGGGAUGGCAGAGUAAUCCUUUAAAAAUGAAGUUGACUAAGCUAUAGGUUUUGGAGGUGGGGGGUGCUGCAGUCACUGGUGUGGGCAUCAAAAAACCUGGAUAUCAGUCCCGUUCUCCCAUUUUCUUUGGAUAACUUCCCAGUCUUCUUCACCUGCGCUCCUCAUUUCCUUAGUCAUUUGCCAACUCUUUUUUUUUUCUUUUUUUUUGAGAGAGAGAGAGAGAGAGAGAGAGAGAGAGAGAGUCUCGGCAUUUUUUUGAGACACAGAGAGUCUCACUCCAUCACCCAGGCUGGAGUGCAGUGGCACAGUCUUGGCUCACUGCAACCUCUGCCUCCUGGGUUCAAGCAAUUCUCCUGCCUCAGCCUCCCUAGUAGCUGGAAUUACAGGUGUGCACCACCACACCCUGCUAAUUUUUUGUAUUUUUUUUAGCAGAGACUGGGUUUCACCAUGUUGGCCAGGUUGGUCUCGAACUUCACACCUCAAGUGAUCCACCCACCUUGUCCUUCCAAAGUGCUGGGAUUACAGUUGUGAGCCACUACGCCUGGCCUUUUUGCCAGCUCUUUAUUGUGCACCUACUAUGUGCACUCGGAAAGAGUUACAGAGAAGAGCAAAUCAGACAGGGUUGUUCUUGCCCUUGGGAAGCUCAUGCUCUGGAGGGGGACACAGAGCUGAGCUGUGGAUCACUGAUCAUGUAAAAGACAAAGCUCUAGUUUGAUGAGGGCUGUAGAGAGGGGAUAUAGGUUGCUGUGCACUGGGGCCAAGAUAUAGAUAGAGAUCAAGAUGGUAGAGGAAGGUAGAGGAAGUGCAGGUGCUAACACAGGUGAAGCUGGUGUGUAAGAUGAAUGUGGGAGUGAAAGUGGAGAGCACUGGAGCCAGCACCUGCCACAACCCCUGUGGACCACUCUCCACCCUGCUCCUCUAUGCUUGGUGCUCAGGACAAUAACCAUGUGGUGUGUCUUUCACAGCACUGAUGACUUCAGGUUGCAGCCAGCCAUCAGGGAGCCAGCAAUAGAUGCAAGGAUUGGAGGACUCUGAGGCUAAUAUGGAGUAGAAUGCUCAGUAAAUGCCAGCUGCAGUGGGGUGGCCAUCCCAGGGGAUGAUGCCCCAGUGCCCAGGUCCUCUGUGCAAGUUCAUCCCAAGCUGUGCCAUCCCUUCCAAAUCCUUCACAAGCCAGAUGCAGGAGCGAAUCUUGUCACUGAGUUGCAGUCAUGGCCUAAGGGUGUUUCAGGAUAAACAGAAGAAGCAGAGGACAGCUGAUCUGGAUGUGUUGCCUCCCCCACUAACAUUAUUGUUACCCUCUUGGAAUUAGAGACCAUGCCAGCCUGUAUCUCCUCCUUCCUCUCUGUCCUGUGCAGAGCUGAGUGUGUCCUCAAUGUUUACAUAAAAUGCCAUAAAUCAUGGAAUCUUUAAGCACAAGAGACCUCAGAGGCCAACUCCAAGCCACAAACAAGGAACCCUGAAUCGAAAGGGAAUCUAAAGCUUCAGGCAAAGAGAGAGGAGAUUGGAUGGUGUGUCAAGCACAGUGCUACCCCCUUUAUAGGCAUGGCAUUGAGGUAGGACAUGGGACUUGACUCUGGAGGCAGGGCUCAGGUACGGGACCAAACUGAAGACUAGCUAAAAUAGGGACAGGGUGAAAACACCUUUCCAUAGGAAAUGCCUGUCAGUGUGCCAUGUCAGUUUAUCAUUGCCAUGGCAACACCUGGAAGUUACUGCCCCUUUCCAUGGCAACAACCCGAUGACUGGAAAGUUUCCAACCCUUUUCUAGAAAUUUCUGCAUAAUGCACCCUUUAAUUUGCAUAUAAUUAAAAGUGGGUAUAAAUAUGACUGCAGGACUGCCUCUGAGCUGCUACUCUGGGCACAUUGCCUAUGGGGUAGCCCUGCUCUGCAAGAAGAAGUACCUCUGCUGCUGUGGUACACUGCCACUUCAAGAAAAGUUGCUAACACCACUGGCUAGCCCUUGAAGCCCUUGAAUUAUUUCCUAGGCAAAGCCAAGAACUCUCGCAAGCUAAACCCCAAUUUGGGGGGCUCACCUGCCCUGCAUCAGCGUAAUUUAAUACUCACAGCUACCCUCCAAAGCCAGCAUCAUGAUACCCACCUGAGAGGUCAGAAAACCGAGACACGGAGUGAUGGCGGCUGACUCAGUUCCCCUAGCUGGGACUCACAGCUGGAUGCAAGCUGCCUAACCUGAGGCUUCAGGCUCUAUCCACAGUCUGCAGGCAUACUGACUGGCCUCUGUUUAUGCAUCUGUGAAAUGGGGAUGAUGAGGGCAAGUAUUCAUACUAUGCCCCACCCAGCAGGCUUCAGGCAAUGAGGAACUAUAAGCAUGGAUGUGAAUGUGUUCUGGACAUGGAAUGGAUGAUACAAAGAGAAUGGAUACUCAGGUGCCCAGAGAGCCCUGGCUUUGUUCCUGGAAGUGGUCAGAUAAAAAAACCAAAAAAAAAAAAACAGUUUGGAUGUGGAGUCAGGAAGAACUAGGUUCAAAUAUUACCUUUUCCACUUAAUCAGUGCCUGACCUUUGGCAGGUAACUCUACCAACCCUUCCACCCGCCUUUUGUAAAUAUUCACAGAGUGAGGGUCAUGUGCAAGAUACAGAAGUCAGUCUGGAUUCAAAUAGGCUCUGCUGGGGUGACAUGUAGGAAUCUGCACAAGUGAUUUGUCAUCGUCACCAUCAUCAUCACUGAGGCACAGCACACAUAUAAUACAAUGCAUAAAUCUAAAAGCAAAACCUGAAGAAUUUCUGCAUGUGCAUAGUGUUGUAGACUAAAUUGUGUCCUCCCACCCCCUGAAAAGUUAUCUAUUGAAGUCCUGACCUUCAUAACUUGGGAAAAUGGCUGUAUUUGAAGACAAGAUCUUUAAAGAAGUAAAGUAAAAUGAGGCCAUUAGGGUGGGCCCUAAUCCAUUUUACUGAUGUCAUGCACGGAUGCAUGUGUACAGAGGAAAGGCCAUGUGAGGACACGGCGAGAAGACGGCCACCUGCAAGCCAAGGAGAGAGAUCUCAAGAGAGACCAAACCUGCUGGCCCCUGAUCUUACACUUCCAGCUUCCAGAAUUGUAAGAAAGUAAACUUCGGUUGUCCAACCUACCCAGUCUGUGGUAUUUUGUUAUGGUAGCCUGGUCAGACUAAUACACAUAACCUUGUGUAACCAGCACUACGAUUAGGAGCAGAAUAUUUCCAAUAACCCAGCAGCCCCUGCCAUCAUGACCUUCUCAAUCUUGCCCUCUACCCCCAGAAGUAAUCAUUGCUCUGAUCCCUGUUAUCAUCAACUAGUUCUGUCCAUUUCUGAACUUCAUAUAGGUGGAACCAUACAAUAUGUUUCCUUUGUGCCUGGCUUCUUUGACUCAGCAUUCCAUUUCUGAAAUGCAUCUUUCCUAUUGGGUGCAGCCGUCAUUCAUUCUUUUUCUUUGCUGUAUAAUAUUCCACCGUGUGACUUCAUCACAGUUUGUUUAUCCAUUUCCCCAUUGAUACACAUUUUGGUUGUUUCUAUUUUUUAGCUCUUUUGAAUAAAGCUCUUAUGGGCAUUCUUGUGCAAGUCUUCAAUAGCCCUGCACACUCGUUUUUCGAGGGGUAUAUACUCAGGAAUAAAAUUGCUGAGUCACAGCUUAAAUGUAUAUUUAGCUUUAAUUAAUGUUAGAGUUUGUGCUUUAACCUUUCCGCAC
rnacentral:lncRNA from 10 species